GGGUUGUGGAUAAGAGGGAAAAUUGCAUUUGGUGGCACUGAAGGUUUUUGGUUUAGAAAGAAAUAUUACAGGAAAUAAAACAUCCUGAUACAUCUGGUUAGUGAAUGCAUUCUUUCAUUUGCAGAUUCAAAUUCAAUCACUUACUCUUUCAUAAGAUUAAUCACCCCGGAGGAUGAAAAAUGAAUAAUGUAUGACUUUAUGACUUAGUGAGGCCAGAGACUGGUCUCGAAGCGAAAUGCGGAGUGUUUUUUUUUAAAUUUUUUCGGAAGCAUAGGAUGCUCGAUUGCGACUCGUAAGGUAAUUAAGUUCUUUGCACCUUCCUGUCUGGCAAUUAGGUGAGGAAGUGCAACUCGAGGCUAAUGCGCAUCAUCAGAUCCAAUAGGUGUUCUCUGCUGGGGGCUCCUUGUCGCAAUCCUCUACUGCUUCCUCAAUCAAGAGGUGCAAAAAGAGGUGCACAUGCAGUGGCUCAGGUGGCAGGAGAAGAACUGUGGUGUGGUGUCCCCCGCGGCAAAGGGCAGCAUGAUGGAGACAC